CGCCCUUCCUACGGGAGGCAGCAGUGGGGAAUAUUGGACAAUGGGCGAAAGUCUGAUCCAGCAAUGCAGCGUGAGUGAUGAAGGCCCUAGGGUUGUAAAGCUCUUUACCCGGGAUGAUAAUACANNC
rnacentral:rRNA from 1 species